CACACAGAGCUUUGAAAGGCCACCAAGAACACAGUGAGAAGGUGGCUAUAAUCCAAGAUGAAACCCCACUGGAUAGACCAUCUUGGUCUUCCAGGUUCCAUUCCACAUGCCACAUUGUGCACCCCUCUGUGUCUCCCAAUUGUCUUCUCUGCCCUCAUUUGCCUUGGGCUGAUCUGUUGAAAGUCGCAGAGACCAGGCAGCCCUCUAGUGGUGAGUGUGAUCAGGAGCCAUCUGGACUGAUAUUUUAUGUGGAGCAUCCUAGUCCCUUCUUUUCUGAGUGUCCUUCUCCCCCUCUAGGCUCA
rnacentral:lncRNA from 1 species